rnacentral:rRNA from 1 species
UACAGAGGGUGCGAGCGUUAAUCGGAAUUACUGGGCGUAAAGGGUGCGUAGGCGGUUAGAUAAGUUAGAUGUGAAAUCCCCGGGCUUAACCUGGGAAUUGCAUUUAAUACUGUUUGACUAGAGUAGAGUAGAGGGAAGUGGAAUUUCCGGUGUAGCGGUGAAAUGCGUAGAUAUCGGAAAGAACAUCAGUGGCGAAGGCGGCCAUCUGGACGGUAACUGACGCUGAGACGCGAAAGCGUGGGUAGCAAACAGG